GAAGGGCCACAGCUUAGUGGUAGAGCAUCCUUUUUGCAUGGCAGAAGGUCCCAGGUUCAAUCCCUGGCAUCUUCA